rnacentral:rRNA from 1 species
UAGGGAAUCUUCCACAAUGGACGAAAGUCUGAUGGAGCAACGCCGCGUGAGUGAAGAAGGGUUUCGGCUCGUAAAACUCUGUUGUCAAAGAAGAACAUAUCUGAGAGUAACUGUUCAGGUAUUGACGGUAUUUAACCAGAAAGCCACGGCUAACUACGUGCCAGCAGCCGCGGUAAUACGUAGGUGGCAAGCGUUGUCCGGAUUUAUUGGGCGUAAAGCGAGCGCAGGCGGUUUUUUAAGUCUGAUGUGAAAGCCUUCGGCUCAACCGAAGAAGUGCAUCGGAAACUGGGAAACUAGAGUGCAGAAGAGGACAGUGGAACUCCAUGUGUAGCGGUGAAAUGCGUAGAUAUAUGGAAGAACACCAGUGGCGAAGGCAGCUGUCUGGUCUGUAACUGACGCUGAGGCUCGAAAGUAUGGGUAGCAAACAGG